CUCCUACGGGAGGCAGCAGUGGGGAAUCUUGCGAACUAAUGGGACGAAAAGUCGUACGAUGCAGCAACGCCGCGUGGGGGAUGAAGACUUUUCGGAGUGUAAACCCCUUUCGACCCGGUAAGAAUGGCCCGCAAGGGUUUGACGGUAUGGGUAUAAGAAGCCCCGGCUAACUACGUGCCAGCAGCCGCGGUAAUAC
rnacentral:rRNA from 1 species